rnacentral:rRNA from 1 species
GAUGAACGCUAGCGGCAGGCUUAACACAUGCAAGUCGAGGGGCAGCGAGAGAGUAGCAAUACUUUUGUCGGCGACCGGCGCAAAGGGUGCGUAACGCGUGAGCAACAUGCCCGUAACAGGCGGAUAGACCGUGGAAACGCGGCGUAAACCGCCAUAAGUUGGGAGUAGGCAUCUAUUUCAAAUGAAAUCUUCGGAGGUUACGGAUUGGCUCGCGAGACAUUAGCCAGUUGGCGGGGUAACGGCCCACCAAAGCUACGAUGUCUAGGGGUUCUGAGAGGAAGGUCCCCCACACUGGAACUGAGACACGGUCCAGACUCCUACGGGAGGCAGCAGUGAGGAAUAUUGGACAAUGGAUGGAAAUCUGAUCCAGCCGUGCCGCGUGCAGGAAGACGGUCCUAUGGAUUGUAAAACUGCUUUAGCAUGGGAGCAAUAAGGUGUACGCGUACACCGAUGAGAGUACCAUGAAGAAUAAGCACCGGCUAACUCCGUGCCAGC